UACGGGGGGAGCAAGCGUUGUUCGGAUUUACUGGGCGUAAAGGGCGCGUAGGCGGUCAGCACAAGUCAGUUGUGAAAUCUCCGGGCUUAACUCGGAAAGGUCAACUGAUACUGUGCGACUAGAGUGCAGAAGGGGCAACUGGAAUUCUCGGUGUAGCGGUGAAAUGCGUAGAUAUCGAGAGGAACACCUGCGGCGAAGGCGGGUUGCUGGGCUGACACUGACGCUGAAACGCGAAAGCUAGGGGAGCGAACGGG
rnacentral:rRNA from 1 species